rnacentral:rRNA from 1 species
CUGAGUGCCGGACGGGUGAGUAACGCGUGAGGAACCUGCCUUGCAGUGGGGAAUAACAGUUGGAAACGACUGCUAAUACCGCAUAAUGCAGAGAGACCGCAUGAUCUUUCUGCCAAAGAUUUAUCGCUGUAAGAUGGCCUCGCGUCUGAUUAGCUAGUUGGUGGGGUAACGGCCUACCAAGGCGACGAUCAGUAGCCGGACUGAGAGGUUGAUCGGCCGCAUUGGGACUGAGACACGGCCCAGACUCCUACGGGAGGCAGCAGUGAGGGAUAUUGGGCAAUGGGGGAAACCCUGACCCAGCAACGCCGCGUGAGGGAAGAAGGUCUUCGGAUUGUAAACCUAAGUAGUCAGGGACGAAGAAAUGACGGUACCUGAAGAGUAAGCUCCGGCUAACUACGUGCCAGCAGCCGCGGUAAUACGUAGGGAGCGAGCGUUGUCCGGAUUUACUGGGUGUAAAGGGUGCGUAGGCGGGCUGUCAAGUCAGAUGUGAAAUACCGGGGCUCAACUCCGGGGCUGCAUUUGAAACUGAUGGUCUUGAGUGAAGUAGAGGCAGGCGGAAUUCCUAGUGUAGCGGUGAAAUGCGUAGAUAUUAGGAGGAACACCAGUGGCGAAGGCGGCCUGCUGGGCUUUAACUGACGCUGAGGCACGAAAGC